UAAGAACCACACAGUCUUCCACAUUCAGAGGCUGCUAGAGAUGGAUCAGGGCCUUCGUGACCUUUACAGCAUGCCUGCUGAGAUGGAACCGUCAGUGUGUGCCCACCUGAGACCAUUAUGCCAACAGCAGUGCAGUGACUCUUUGAGAAGACAGUGCCAAGAGGUUGGAGAGGAGGGUACGCUGCAUCUCCACAUGCCUGUCGGAUUAUUCACUAGCCAGCGACAGUGGGGUGUUUGAACCUCUAACCAAAAGUCCUUUGUGAUAUCUGCUGGUUUCAUUGUGAGCUGCAAGGAAAUAGAGAGCUGGAGGAUUGAAGCCUAGUCUGAGAAGUUACUCUAUGAGAGAAGCAAACCCCAAAGGUAGAGUGGAAACAACAAUUAUAAGAGGAAAUGUGGCCAGGUGUGGUGGCUCAAGCCUAUAAUCUCAGCACUUUGGGAGGCUGAGGCGAGCAGAUCACCUGAGGUCAGGAGUUUGAGACCAGCUGGGCCAACAUGGUGAAACCCCGUCUCUACUAAAAAUACAAAAAAUUAGCCAGGUGUGGUGGCAUGUGCCUGUAGUCCCAGCUACUUGGGAGACUGAGGCACAAGAAUCACUUGAACCCAGGAGGUGGAUGUUGCAGUGAGCCAAGAUCACGCCAUUACACUCCAGCCUGGGGGACAGAGCAAGACUCCGUCUCAAAAAAAAAAAGAGGAAAUGCAACAAGACACAGCCUGUGGAACCUGCCAAGAAGAAGACAAAGGAAGGAGACUGUCUAGGAUUGAGAUCUGAUUUGUGUGAGGAGGGUUAGUGAUGGAGGGAGAUAAGGGGCAUGAUGUGACAGCAUAGGGACCUGUUUUAAUGAACAGUGUUCAUGGGGAGUUUUGAGAGAUGUUGGGAUGGAAUUAUGACCUUGCCACCUCAAUAAUUAACUAGUUUGUCGGGCGCGGUGGCUCACGCCUGUAAUCCCAGCACUUUGGGAGGCUGAGACGGGCAGAUCAUGAGGUCAGAGAUCGAGACCAUCCUGGCUAACACAGUGAAACCCCGUCUCUACUAAAAAUACAAAAAGAUUAGCCAGGCGAAGUGGCGGGCACCUGUAGUCCCAGCUAUUCG
rnacentral:lncRNA from 1 species